GUUCUUGCUGUCUGUUUACCAUUAAACUCGCCGAGCAGCGCUAAGAGCCGGUGUAGCUCACUCUUCGGAAAGUUAAACGUCAUUUCUCAAACAAUCAACUAGUGUUAAGAAGCUAAGACAGCUAGUUAGCCUCGUAGCAAUGCCACCAGCGAUGCCAGAGCUUUGAAGUGAGAAUCUCAUUCAUGUUGGCCUGCAAAAGACGGUUGGGGGAUGGGUACAGCAACAAACUCCACAGCCACACAAGACGGGCCUGCGUGCAACAACACUUUCAACACAAGCGUAAUUUAUACACUUAGAGAAAACUCCUGCGAAAGCAACACCAACUUUCCUAAUGAAUACGCCCGACAUAAACCGGCUGAUGUAACAUCAAAAGAAACAAGAAAGCAACGGCACACUUUCCACUCCAGCAGCUGCAGCAGCAGCGGCGGCAGAAGCAGCUAGCUUCGCUUCUUAGCUAGUUUGUUAGCUUCCGAAGCUAGAUGGGAAGUCAUUUAGGAGCCAAUGUCCACACAGGCAGAGACGCUGGCAGGACCGAAAGAGCACGCCGCUGCCGCAGCUCGAACAUCCUCCCUGUCACUCUCCUCCGCCGUCAGUCAUCCAGGAGCUGAUCGUCCCAGCCGGCCCAGGUGACGUGACGAACCGACGGUUACCUGACCAGCUGCAGGUUCUGCACCCAGCGGUUGAACCGAGAGAGGCAAAUCUGAAGGGGAACCCCGGCUUCUACUUGCACCUAUUUAGC